AACGCGAAGAACCUUACCAGGUCUUGACAUCCCGUUGAAAGGUGUAGAGAUACAUCUGGCCCUUCGGGGACAGCGGAGACAGGUGGUGCAUGGUUGUCGUCAGCUCGUGUCGUGAGAUGUUGGGUUCAGUCCCGCAACGAGCGCAACCCUUAUUUUUAGUUGCCAGCAGGUAGAGCUGGGCACUCUAGAGAGACAGCCGGUGAAAGCCGGAGGAAGGUGGGGAUGACGUCAAAUCAUCAUGCCCCUUAUGGCCUGGGCUACACACGUGCUACAAUGGACGGUACAAACGGAAGCGAAGCCGCGAGGUGGAGCGAAUCCGAGAAAGCCGUUCUAAGUUCGGAUCGCAGGCUGCAACUCGCCUGCGUGAAGUCGGAAUCGCUAGUAAUCGCGGAUCAGCAUGCCGCGGUGAAUACGUUCCCGGGCCUUGUACACACCGACGCGUA
rnacentral:rRNA from 1 species